UGAUCCUUGGUAUCCAAAUCCUGCACAAGACCUUGUUGACCCACUACAUAUUGGCCAAUAACAUGAUGACGCUGCUUUGCAUGCUCUGUAAUGUUACUCAGCUCUUCCAUUCCUUUGAAGAGAAGCAAAUCAAUUACCUUGGAAUUGGUGAUACUAGAGUUCUUGCGGAUCUCAGAGGCGAUGGUGGAGCGGAGCUGGGACACUGUGACGACGUCCUGUAGGUUGUAGAUGUCCAUGAUUUGGGGAAUGGAUCUGCAGGCCGUUC
rnacentral:misc_RNA from 1 species